CAAUUUCCAUUUCCAAUUUCCAACCCCAAUUCCGAUUUUAAUACAAAACCACGUAAGAGACGACGACCGAUAAAGAAACGACUCGUUAGCAGAUCAGACUCAUUGGACGGAAUCUUCAGCUGAGACGAGUUGUAAGUUGCAGG